rnacentral:misc_RNA from 1 species
UGAGGUGCUAGCAGAUGAGU